AGUGAACGCUGGCGGUAGGCCUAACACAUGCAAGUCGAACGGCAGCACAGUAAGAGCUUGCUCUUACGGGUGGCGAGUGGCGGACGGGUGAGGAAUACAUCGGAAUCUACUUUUUCGUGGGGGAUAACGUAGGGAAACUUACGCUAAUACCGCAUACUACCUACGGGUGAAAGCAGGGGUUCUUCGGACCUUUCGCGAUUGAAUGAGCCGAUGUCGGAUUAGCUAGUUGGCGAGGUAAAGGCCCACCAAGGCGACGAUCCGUAGCUGGUCUGAGAGGAUGAUCAGCCACACUGGAACUGAGACACGGUCCAGACUCCUACGGGAGGCAGCAGUGGGGAAUAUUGGACAAUGGGCGAAAGCCUGAUCCAGCCAUACCGCGUGAGUGAAGAAGGCCUUCGGGUUGUAAAGCCCUUUUGUUGGGAAAGAAAAGCAGCAGGAUAAUACGCCGCUGUUCUGACGGUACCCAAAGAAUAAGCACCGGCUAACUUCGUG
rnacentral:rRNA from 1 species